GAAUGGACACAGAUCCGUGUCUUGUUCAGUAACUCCAGCACGAUCGACGUGCCUUCUGCAUUUUCUCCGAGUUCCUAUUUGGCUUCAUUUCUGCACAGCAGAAAAUGGGUGCAGCUCUCAGCACUGCCUGUGAAAGGCCCUGGGUCACCUGGAGCCAAGGCCUUGGCCACAGAGACAUGCAGGACUGAUCCAGUGGUCUUUAUGACAUGGUAGUUCUGGGGAUCAGAGCAUCCUUUCCCAGGGUAUAUGGAAGAUGAAUCGAAUCCAUGGCUGACUGUGGCUACAUCAGAACACUGUGGGCCAACAGGAGGAUCACAGUUUGCUGUCUUCUCCCACUGCCCAUCUCAUUUCUGGAGCUGACUUGAAGGGAACUGGCCUAAGAAGCUGUCAGGGUUAAUCCAAGGCACCUAUUGAUUCAUUACCACGGAACAGCCUGGAUUGCUCGCCUGGGGCACAACCUUUCUCCACGGAGGGAGGCGGACAUUCUUUACAGGAUGCUCUUGAAAAGGCCUUGCUGUUAGUCAUUUACAUCCCAGAGAUGCUGACUUCAGAGAUACCCACAAUCCCCACUUGCUGGAUGCCUGAAUCUCUGGGUCCUCUGCUGAGAAGUGGGACCACUUGCCCUCUAUUGGGUGCAGAGCUCAGCUUCCUGGGCUGAGGUAGAACACUGCUUGUGCCCAAUGCCUCAGACUUCUCAUUCAUGACCAUCAUGGGGACCUGGAAUGGGAUUGGGGAUGGGGGUGGUAGACAGAGACAAAACUCUGGGUCAACUUCAGGAGUGAACAAUUUUUAUUUUGCCACCACUGUUUAUACACCAUUUGUCCAGCUGCUAAAGCUGGCAUGCAAACAGAGCUUAAACAGCCUCGUGGUCCUCUUUACCUGAGUUCUUCUUCAGACCUCCCUGCUCUUGUGGUUUUGGUUUGCCUGGAAGACAUUUUUCCUGGAUGUUAGCUCCAGUCUUCAGUUUCCUGAAGUCGUGUAGCCACAUCUUCGUCAGGAUUUGUGCCUGAGAAAGGAGCUGCAGACCACCUGUACCCCAACACCUAGGGCCUCAGGGGAUCCCCCCAUCUGUGCUCUUCCAGUGAUCUGUCCUUGUUCCUUGCUUAAAACUUCAGUUAUGUAUGGGCUUUGAUCCUUUAGCCACACAGCCAAACCCUUCCAUGAAGCCCCCAGAACUGAGCACCAUGCCUUCCCCUCCCCCAACCCCCGUUCUUCAUCUCCGAAACAAAAGCCCAUUGUACACAGAGACCCAAGGAAAGUCCAGCAGCCCUUCCCUCCAGCACUGCCUGUGAAGGAAACCAAAAAGUGGGGAAGGUGAUGAAAUAUUUUUGGAAAGGCAUUGGAGGCUCGGCUGGUGUGGGAGAAAUGCGCAUAGGUGCCUUCAGCUCUGAGGGAGGCACAAACUAAAAGAUGGAGGGAAAAGAGGGCGCUCUCCUGUUAAAGAUGGAACAUAUAGGAAAGUGAGGACCAGGCAGGAAAAAACCAGCAAACCUUUGGGAAUGGUCCUUAGAGAUCAAUUCUAGGCCUCUAUCAACUGGACAAGGCAAGUUGAGGCGUGUGCUUCCAGUGACCACGGCUGCUGCCAAACAAUAGACCACAUCUGACAUAGACCUGAACUCUCACUCCUGCAGAGGGCUGUGAAGACAUCAGCCUGGUAUGCUUUUUUCCUAACUUACUCCCCAAAAUGCCUUCAAACAGGUCUUGUUAAUUCUUCUGGAGUCUUUGAGAAGGGCAGGUUCGAGGGUGCUCAUGGCGAUAGGACAGCCAGCAAUACAGAGCUCCUGUGUGGAAGGGGUCUACUCUCUUCCUCUGCCUCCUCCCCUGGAAGGGGUCUACUCUCUUCCUCUGCCUCCUCCCCUGCUGAUCACCUUUCCGCUGAUACAAGGUAGGUUCAGCUUGAGCCCCACCCCCAACUAGACACUCCAAAGCCUAAAACUUUGAGCACAGACAAUUACACACAAGCGUUUCAGGUUAGAGUUUCAUAAAUAUUCCAAAGUUGGAGGGAAAACAUCCACACUGCUUGUGGUCUCCAGCAUUUUGGAUACAGGAUGCUCACCCGAUGCGGUUUGACUGAAAAAGAUAGUCCUACUGUUCAGGGUUAUAGACCCAGCCAUUGCCAGGACAGCUGUUCUUCCCCGCAUCCUCAGAAACUGCACAUCAUAAACCAGAAUCUGUGAUCGAAUGAAGUUUGGUCCUGGAGAGACCAGUUGCAUGUAAGCCUGCUCAAGGCUGAAAAGCUGCAGCUCAAAGCCUGUUUACCUUUUCCUACCUCCACGUUUUGAAAACACUGCUGACCAUGGAGCAAAGCUUCAGUGUCUCACAGACCCAUGUGUGCCUGGUGGCAGAGUUCAGGAGCCUGGUCAGUGAGUAGAGGAGACCGGUCCUCUCUGCUUCCCUGUGGCUUCUCAGUUUGACAAAGAGUUAAAGGCAAGGUGGACACCACUAAACUGAGACUCUGAGAUCCAAACAAGAGGAGCUGAGUGCUCUGGGUGUGGCACAGUGGGUAAAGUGCUUGCCACGCAGGCAGGCAAGCAAGCAAGCCUGAGGACAUGAGUUCAGAUCCCCGGGACCACACCAACGAAGAGCCGGGUGUAGCAGCACAUAUUCUUGUAAUCCUGGUCCUGGAAAGGCAGAAACAGGAGGAAACCACGAGCCUGCUGGCCAGCCAGUCUAGCCAGCUAGACUAGGAACUAGUAAGUGUUCAUUAGUGAGGUACAAGAGUAGACGAUUUGCCCUGCACCAUCAGGAACCCCGGCUGAAAGCUCUGAGCUCAGUGCAAAAUGGCAGUCUCCCUUUGUCAGCUGGGCUCUCUCUUCUCUACUUGGGGCAUUCCAGACCCCACUGCACCUGAGAUUCCUGGAAUGCCUCUCUAUGCUAAGGAGGCAUCUCGGUACCUUAGCCUUCAUGGAGCCAAUGACCUUCGCCCACUCUGAAUACUCUCAUGCCGUUCCCCAAAACUAUACAACCCUUGGUUCACCCCGAAUAAGGUGUAUGCAGACAAGCCCACCCUGAAUAAAGAAAAUGCACAAUCUGAGAUCAUCUCAGAAAGUUGUUUCACUGGAGAUCCUCAGAGAAGGUCUUCUCCCCCUCCCCCUCCCCCAACCUCUCAACGCAGGCAUUUAUUCCCAGCCAGACUGAAGUCCUACAGAACUCCAUCACUUCAGGGCUCCACUUAGUCCUUCCGGCCUGGCGUGUAGAGGCAUCGGGAACACCCUGAGUGGGAAGCAGCAGAAGAUGAGGAACCACAGCUGGACCUCAAAACGCAUACCACAAUACACUGUGUUCCCAGCCUGAACCAAGAUCUUGGGGAAAAUAGUCUCAGACAGACCUGAAAGCCUCAGCAGACACUCUCCUCUGCCCCUUGAGAAGUGGCCGCCGAUGACAUCAUGCCGAGGUCUUGAGGAAGAAGCUGAGGAGUUAGGUCACUCCAGGGCAGGGACUCCGCCCUCUGUUUAUUUAUCUUUGUUUUCAGUUAUAUUUUUCACUGUCUAGCACAGAUUGAGCGUGCAAUAAGCAGCCCGAGAGUGAAUGAACAGAUCAACUUUUGUUGUUGUUGUUGUUGUUGGAAGGCGUCUUCACUUAUUUUCUUCUGCUGACUGAGUCCUGCAGUGUUCUGACUGGACACCUGAGACUGAGUCAGUUACGAAGAGGGUUACUUAGUCCACA